UUGCAGUUCCUCAUAUAAUGUUGUCUCCCUUCUCUGUUUUUCUUCCAAUUUCAAUUUAUUUCUGUUUAUGUGUCUGUCACCAGAGUAAUGCUUCAGUGGAAGCUACUGUACUUAGGAAAGCAGACAAAACUCUUGUUCUCAGAAGAGGAGAAUGUAAACAGAAAAUUAAAUGAAAGAAUAGAAGCUGGCAAAAAAAGGCAAGCUGGACUACUUAUGGAGAUUGAAGACCUUGAGAGAAAGCUUACUCAGUCUGAAAAUGAAGUCAAAGCCCUGAGUGAAGAAGCAAGUAAGAAGGAAAAUGAUUACAGGAAUUAUAAUGAGGAUUUUAGUAACAAAAUGAAAUAUCUGGAGAAUGACAUCAAAUCUGCAACUGAAUAUCUACUUAAAAAAGAAGAAGAACUAAACAUAAGCAGGCUAACCUUGGAAGAAACCCAGAGGGAAAGAGAAGAGGAGUUUACAAAAUAUGAAGAACUGAAGAAAUCAUUUUUACGUAAGUGUUAAGUAGCUCCUCUACCUAGAGGAGCUUUCUCUUGCUGUUUCCAAAAUUGUCUGCCUAUGGCUCAAAUGAACUAUGAAGCGUAUAAAU
rnacentral:lncRNA from 1 species